rnacentral:tRNA from 1 species
GCCCGCGUAGCUCAGCCUGGAUAGAGCACUAGCCUUCUAAGUUAGGGGUCGCAGGUUCAAAUCCUGUCGUGGGCGC